rnacentral:lncRNA from 13 species
UUUUUUUCAUUUCCAAUGUAUAGCCUUAUAAUACAGGUCUCAUUACUUCCAGGACUGAGUGACUCAGAUCUGUAAGGCUCGAGUGCCUUACGGGAAGCCAUGCACAGUAGUUAGGAGUUAAGGGCCAGGGAGUCAUGCUGCCAAGGGGUAGCAAGCACUACCUCUUAUUAUUUGUUUAACCUCUCUAUGCCUCAGUUCCCGCCUCUCCAAAUAGAGAAAAAUAAUAGGCUCCUGUGAACAUUAAAUUAGAUAGUACGUAUAAGCUGCUUAGAACAUUUUUAUUAGGCCUGGCAUGUAAUAGGCAAUAGAUAGCAGCUACUUUGUAAAUAUAUUUAUAGUACCCAAAAAAUUAACUCAAAUGAAUGCUCCCUUUUGCUUUCGUUUUAGUUCAUGAGUGAAUGGUGAGGCUACGUAAAGGAACUGGAGAUUGUCCCUGGGGAUUCCGAAUUCAGUUAUCCAAAAAAUCAUAUUUACUGAAGUGGAUACCAACGGUGCUGCCAAGGAAGCCAGGCUGCGGAUUGGAGAUGUGGUGCUGGCUGUCAAUGGCACUAAGGUCAUCAGUGUUGAGCUUGCAGAAGCUGUGAACCUUGCAAUGAAAGGUAGGUGGGCCAGUUACAGAAUCCAGAGUUAAUCUGAAGGAGCAAAAAGCUGCCACACAGAGUUCCAGUGUGGGAGAGGACACCUAUAGGUGUAAGUGCACUUCUCUCCCACAGUGCCUUGAAUGCCUUGUCAUCUGCAUAAGUUUUCAUAGAAAUUAAAUCACAGUUCUGUCCCAUUUUCCUUCUUUAUUGAAGGCCAGCCACUUAACUGAAGCCAGAAAAUGGCAGUAAGCCAAACAUACUCUAUUAUUGUCAAAAUAUUUACUUAAAUUCCUUGCGCACACACAGAAAAAUUCUCAUUACAAGCAUUCAUUUACUAUUACCAUCCUUUCCUCCCACCUUCCUUCCUUCCUCCCUCCCUUUCUCCUUCUCUUUCUUUCCAUCAUCAGCUUUUAGGUUAAAAUCC